rnacentral:rRNA from 1 species
AUUGAACGCUGGCGGCAGGCUUAACACAUGCAAGUCGAGCGGAGACUUCGGUCUUAGCGGCGAACGGGUGAGUAAUACCUAGGAAUCUGCCUAUUAGUGGGGGAUAACGAAUCGAAAGGUUCGCUAAUACCGCAUACGUCCUACGGGAGAAAGGGGGGGAUCUUCGGACCUCUCGCUAAUAGAUGAGCCUAGGCCGGAUUAGCUAGUUGGUAGGGUAAAGGCCUACCAAGGCGACGAUCUGUAGCUGGUCUGAGAGGAUGGCCAGCCACACUGGAACUGAGACACGGUCCAGACUCCUACGGGAGGCAGCAGUGGGGAAUAUUGGACAAUGGGGGCAACCCUGAUCCAGCCAUGCCGCGUGUGUGAAGAAGGCCUCGGUUGUAA